UCCGAUUCCGGUACCUGUCCUUUAUUGAAGCAGCUGUUACAGGGCCAAUUUUUCGCAAAGAUUGACACUGCACGGCAGCGGCAAAUCACAGCCACUCAGCCUUAACUUUUUCGCACACACACAGCCUGACUUAGAAUUUUCAGACUUUAGCCAAACUAAGAACACACAGGAUUUACGGGUAAAAACCCAACCUUUAUUAAUUCUCGCAGAAUAUACAAAGGACUCACAUUUUAGACUUGGCUCACAUAUGUUAUGCUACUUGCCUUUGCCAAAAAACGAAAUACAACAUAUAACAAGGGGCUGCCAAUGACAGUUUACAAAGGGGCAGUUAUGGGCACUUUAGUUUAGAUGCUUGACAAUCGAUAGAUGCUAUCCCUGCAACUGAUCCACUGUUGGGAUUACUAUAACUUCUCGCUUUCUGUCAGAGCAACAUAUUUUAUUUUUUGAGUACUACUGAACGGUUAAAUCACUUUUGGAUUUACAAUUAUACUUCUGCGAAAAUAAGGAAGCAAGCAUAAUUGCUCAGGAAAUUGAUACUUUAGCUCUAAACUACCCCAUGCAACUUCUUUUGAAUCUGAUGCUUCAAAUAAUCAUAGAGGACAUACGAAAACUUUACGGUUAUUUCAUAACUAGUUUUUUACUGUAUCACAAAGAAUAUUACAUCAAUUUCUUGUGUCGGCGCACAUUAUUUCAGCUCGUGAAAAAAGUCAAAGCCAAACCGUUUCGCUUAAGAAAAGGUCCAAUUUUUGAAAACCAAACUAAACUUUUUGUCAGAAACUAAAAAACCUCAAGGUAAGUUUUUUAAAAAAGAAAACCAAACUAAACUUUUUGUCAAAAACUAAAAAACCUCAAGGUAAGUUUUUUAAAAAAAUCAAUUCAAA
rnacentral:lncRNA from 1 species